GACGAACGCUGGCGGCGUGCUUAACACAUGCAAGUCGAACGGAAAGGCCCUGCUUUUGUGGGGUGCUCGAGUGGCGAACGGGUGAGUAACACGUGAGUAACCUGCCCUUGACUUUGGGAUAACUUCAGGAAACUGGGGCUAAUACCGGAUAGGAGCUCCUGCUGCAUGGUGGGGGUUGGAAAGUUUCGGCGGUUGGGGAUGGACUCGCGGCUUAUCAGCUUGUUGGUGGGGUAGUGGCUUACCAAGGCUUUGACGGGUAGCCGGCCUGGGAGGGUGACCGGCCACAUUGGGACUGAGAUACGGCCCAGAAGCCUACGGGAGGCAGCAGUGGGGAAUAUUGCACAAUGGGCGGAAGCCUGAUGCAGCAACGCCGCGUGCGGGAUGACGGCCUUCGGGUUGUAAACCGCUUUCGCCUGUGACGAAGCGUGAGUGACGGUAAUGGGUAAAGAAGCACCGGCUAACUACGUG
rnacentral:rRNA from 1 species